CCUGACUCAACAAAGUGAAAAUGAAGAAGCGAGCAAGAGAGAAUUCCAACAGAUAACAAGCAUCAAUAUCCUCAUUCAACCUUCUAGGGACCACGAACUUCUUGAGAACGCUACCAUAUCUUCUCAACAGAGCUCUCCUGAUCCGUAUUCAGAUUGUACAGAUUAUGAAGACAUCGACUAUAUUCCAGACUCAAGUGGGAAUUCCUCAGAUGGAAGUGUUUGCAGUAAGGAUCUGAGCAUUACAGAAUUUCUUGCUCCCCAAAAUGUGAUUAAGAAUGUGCCAUUGGAGAUGGAUGCAGAACAGUGUGGGGAAAUCUCCAGUUCAGCGAUAGUUACAAGUUUAGGUUCAUCACCGAGAAGCAGCAAUCAUUGCACUUCAGUGACAAGUUGCAAUGCUAAUUGUUCAGGGAACACAUCAUACAUUAGCCAGCCCAU